GACAGAGGGUGCAAACGUUGUUCGGAAUGACUGGGCGUAAAGCGCGUGUAGGCGGCUCGGCAAGUCGGAUGUGAAAGCCCUGGGCUCGACCCAGGAAGUGCACUCGAAACUGCCGAGCUGGAGUCCCGGAGAGGAAGGCGGAAUUCUCGGUGUAGAGGUGAAAUUCGUAGAUAUCGAGAGGAACACCGGUGGCGAAGGCGGCCUUCUGGACGGCGACUGACGCUGAGACGCGAAAGCGUGGGGAGCAAACAGG
rnacentral:rRNA from 1 species